ACUGAUAGACAUAGACGGCAGAGCUAACCCGUUAGGCGGCUUAGGCCUGUCCUGUGGAGCGUCCCUGCAGGGGACUCCAGUCAGCCUGAGUGACGCGAUCCAAAGAACGCUCCCGGGUAGGAAAUUGCCCCGGUGGAAUGCCUUGCCAGAGCAGCGCAUAGCAGGCCCCUGCAGAGGAUUAACACGGUGGCUGAACACCGGAAAGAACUGGCACUUGGAGUCGCGACAUCUGAAACUUGCUAUAUGGAGGAAGCAGCAGAGAAGGGCAAAUUUUAAAAAGUGGAAGAAAACUGGUAUGCAUAUUUUCAACCAAGUGAAAACGUCAAGGAGGUUAAAGUAAUCAACUGGGUCAAAUGCUGCUGAGAGGUCAAAUAAGGUAAGAUGAGGACUUGAAGCUGGUGACCAUACAUUUAAAGUGAGGUCAGUGGGUAUGGUAUGGACUUGCCACCAGUGCCAUUAUGCUGUGUGCAGUCACCACCCUGAUACAUAAACCCUGGAAUAAUUCUGUGAAAGCAGGAACCCUUAUAACCAAAUCAUUUCUCUCCACUGCUCGGAACACGAAAGUUUUCUGCUAUCUGUGGAAACUUGUCUGCAAACAGCUCAAAGGAGACACGGC
rnacentral:lncRNA from 1 species